UACGGAGGGAGCUAGCGUUGUUCGGAAUUACUGGGCGUAAAGCGCACGUAGGCGGCUUUGUAAGUUAGAGGUGAAAGCCCGGGGCUCAACCCCGGAAUAGCCUUUAAGACUGCAUCGCUUGAAUCCGGGAGAGGUGAGUGGAAUUCCGAGUGUAGAGGUGAAAUUCGUAGAUAUUCGGAAGAACACCAGUGGCGAAGGCGGCUCACUGGACACAUAUUGACGCUGAGGUGCGAAAGCGUGGGGAGCAAACAGG
rnacentral:rRNA from 1 species